UUUCACCCCCUGACCUAAUAUAGGCACUUGGAUAUCGGCCCGCGCGGCCCGAGAUUUUCGUUCACCUGCGGCCGCCGCGUUUUGUGUCAGAAAUCGGGCCCCGUGAGGGGGGUACCUAUUUGUUUUGUUUCGUUUAUAGUGUUCUUUUCAAUUUAUGGAUUACUUCCGCCUAUCAAAUUAAAGAGGAAAGAAAGGCGCGUAUUAUGGCGUUUUCCACUUCGGGAUCGGUUGUGUGUGUUCGGAGUUACAAGGAGUUAAAAAUAAGCCCCUGAUCACAACCUGCCACUGUUCCAUUGGAUUUAUUGACAGCUCACCAGAAUAAAUCCUGACUUUAAUUAAAAUCCAGAAAUGCUUGCGGAGUUGGUCGAAUUCACAGAAAAACUUGUUUGAACAAGUUGCAAAAAAAUUGAGCACUUAAGAAAGCAUUUGUUGCAGACAAGAAAAAAAAAUUGACAUUAAUUUAACAAUAUCAAGUUGGCAGACUGGGUGAACUAAACAAUUGCCAGAAAUAAAGAAAGAAUAAAUAAGUAUCGUGACACAAUUGCGUGCUUCAAAAAACAUGUCAUAUUUCACAACUAAUUGUCUUUGAAGAAGUUGAACAUUUAAAUAAACACAAUAAAAAUAUAAUGAAAAACUUGCUGAACAAACUGAAGUAAUAAAAUUAGAAGAGACUAUUGUUUAACUUACAGGGCAAUCUCAUGAGUUAAAGAUGUAAAAGAGAAAUCAAAGAUAAAGACAGAGUAAUUGAUCAUUUACAUGACAAAUUAAAACAUGAAAGAAACAUUCUAACAAUAACAUGCAAAA
rnacentral:lncRNA from 1 species